AUGUAUAACGAGUAAAGUGACCAACAGAUUGAUGUACAGUGUGAUUUUGUAUAAACUGUAGUGUGUGUUUUAUAUUGAAAUCAGUGUUAUUGUGUUAUGUACAUAUAAUUUCCUGUGCCAUAUUUUUAUUAACUGAGCAAGAGAACUACACUUAAGAAAUUUCAGAGAGAUGUAAAAGGGUAAAUUUACUAUUUAAAAAAAAUACCAUGUACAAUCCUUCAGCAGGCAAAGACAUUCAAGUUUUGGAUGGAAAUUCUCCGUCUUCGUUCUUUUUGAAGUUUGUUUUGUCUGUCACGGACAAGAACUCUCAGACAUCAUUGUUUCAGAAUAUAAAACUAUAUAUAUAUUUGCUAAUGUCAGAGGCAGCAAUGGAAUGAAUUUCGUACAUGCAAUCUAUGUAAAAUUAUAUCUGUGUAUUUAUGACUUGAUUGAGAGGGACUCCCUGUGUCUAUAGAAUUUAAUACAUAUAGUGAUGUUUGUGAUGUUUACCGUACUACAGUUUGAUUUUUAUUACUGUGUUUUUAAGUUCUGUAGUGCUGCCGAUGUAUUUUUUUUUACCGAAGGAAAAAACAACUAUGUGCUUAAAGUCUGUUUGACAGACAUAAAAAGAGUUUGUGAUAUUUAUUUCUUCAUUUGAUGCAUGCUGAAAAUUUUAUUUAAUAUUUGUUAAUUUUUUAGUUUUCCAUUUAAGAUUCUUUAGCCAAUCGUGUUUAAAAUGUAAAACUUUUAUUUUAUUUUUAACUCUAUAAAGAAUUGCUGUUAUUCUCACAUACAGAUUUUAUUAUCAGGUAAUAUAUAUAUAAUGUGCAUAGGAAUGCCAGGUAUAAAUGGCAUGUAAAAUUCACACAACUCAGUUUAAUUUGUCUUCCAAGAAAAGCAUACAGCAGAAUUGAUUUUGAACUGAAAAAAGCCAAUGUGCAUGCGAAUUCCUCUACCAAAAUAAUAAAUCUUUGUAAGGCUGUCAUAGUGCAGCAUAUAUUUCUGAAAAGCAAAGACAUUUCACUUCAUCUUCCAAAAUUUAAAAGUUGUUUUGGUAUUUAUUUUACACUUUAUGUUAAGGUUUGGUAUAAUUUUACAUAAUAUUUUAGAAACACAAGGUUGUAUUUUUGAUUUGUUAUAUUCUUAAAUAAGAAUAAGUGAUUUUUAAGAUAUUUUGGUUGCAUAAAUAUUCGAUAGGUAUGGUAAUUUUCAUAAAAAGCAUCAUGUUUAAUUAAAGAUGUUUGUAUGUACAUGUAUACAUUUAUUGUAAUUAUAUAUAUUUAACAAGGUACUUAAUUCAGUGAACAAAAUAGACUGGGUUUAAUAAUUAGUUCUUUACAUACAUACAGAGUAUGUUAUGCUUAUGAAAAUUAAUUAAAAAUUAAUUGAGAAUGAAACUUGAAAUGGCACCUUAAUAGAAUCAUUUGUUUAUUGAUGUAUUAUGUGUAACUGUUCCUCUCUACGGCAAACCACACUUGUACUCAACUUUCUUAUAUUGAACGUGUAGUUUCAAAAGAGGGUAUGAUUUUGAUAUACCGAAUCAGUAAAAUGUUAAUAAACACAUAUACCAGGUACAAUAUUGUAUUUCAACAGAAUUUGGUUUUGAUGUGUUCAAUAUAAUGAGGUUCUGUGUAAGUGUGUUUCACUGUAGGAUUUCUCUCACAUCGAUAUGUUACUGUACAAAUCAUUUCUGUAGCUUCAUGUUUGUGCCUUAGAUGUUGCUCUGUAUAAAAGCUUCACAGAUUAUGACUCUUGACUUUACUUGAAAGGCUAGGUAGAAAUUUAGCCACAUAAAAAUACCAUAAAAAACCAAUAAAACAUAAC
rnacentral:sRNA from 1 species